rnacentral:rRNA from 1 species
CCUGGUUGAUCCUGCCAGUAGUCAUAUGCUUGUCUCAAAGAUUAAGCCAUGCAUGUCUCAGUGCAUGCCAAAUUAAGUUGAAACCGCGAAUGGCUCAUUUAAUCAGUUAUGGUUCCUUAGAUCGUACCCACAUUUACUUGGAUAACUGUGGUAAUUCUAGAGCUAAUACAUGCAAACCAGAGUCCCGACCAGAGAUGAAAGGGACGCUUUCAUUAGAUCAAAACCAAUCGGUGGCGGGAACGCGUUCACGCGCGUUCUCUCGUCCAUCGUAAAAGUUUGUGGUGACUCUGAAUAACUUUUGGCUGAUCGCACGGUCCUCGUACCGGCGACGCAUCCUUCAAAUGUCUGCCUUAUCAACUGUUGAUGGUAAGUUCUGCGCUUACCAUGGUUGUAACGGGUAACGGAGAAUCAGGGUUUGAUUCCGGAGAGGGAUCCUGAGAAACGGCUACCACAUCCAAGGAAGGCAGCAGGCGCGCAAAUUACCCACUUCCGGCACGGGGAGGUAGUGACGAAAAAUAACGAUACGGGACUCAUCCGAGGCCCCGUAAUCGGAAUGAGUACACUUUAAAUCCUUUAACAAGGAUCCAUUGGAGGGCAAGUUUGGUGCCAGCAGCCGCGGUAAUUUCAGCUCCAAUAGCGUAUAUUAAAGUUGUUGCGGUUAAAAAGCUCGUAUUUGAAUCUGUGUGCCACGCUGUUGGUUCAUCGCUCGCGAUGUUUAACUGACAAGAUUGUGGGACGUCCUACCGGUGGGCUUAGCUCAAGCGUGCGUCUCGUACGGGUCGGCCUGGCGGCUUUACCGCCGUUGGCGUUGGCCUGUCGCGUGCGUGCGCAAGAGCGGCCCAGCUUAAUCCCAUCGCCAUGCUCUUCACCGGGUGUGGAGAUGGGCCGGUACGUUUACUUUGAACAAAUUAGAGUGCUCAAAGNUGUAACCGGGGGGAACGUCGUCACACAAUGGUCACGCAAUCACUUCGUUUUAAUGAUUUGAUCGAGCUUACGAGGAUAAUAGCGUGUACGCGUUAUUAUCCAAGGUUUUGGAAUGAUUUUACGCCCAAUGAGCCGAGAUUCUGCGUAUAGAUGUCGCGAAAUGUUGUGAACUGUAUACGUGUCGCCGUUGUUGCCCCUUUUAUCUUGUUGUCAAGAUAAAAAAAAAUGGGAGACGGGCGCCCGUUAUCUAAAAGUUUCGUAAUAUUUCGUGGUGCGCCCUAAUGCCUGCCGCUCGUGUCGCAUUUAUUGGACGCAGCGGCGUGGCCCAACGGAGAACCGAUGGGCACGUUUUAUUCGAAAGAGCCUGGCUCUCCGUUGCGUUUUGUAUUGGUCUUUUUUCGUAUUUUAAAAAAAUUCGAAUUGACCGAGAAAUUACUACACAAGAAGUGUAAGCGAGAAAAAUAAAAAUAAUAAUAAAAAUAAAUUGAUUACCCUGAACGGUGGAUCACUUGGCUCGUGGGUCGAUGAAGAAC